GAAACACUGGUUCUCUUACGAUUACCGAAGUUAAGCAACGUCGAGCCUGGUCAGUACCUAGAUGGGUGACUGCUUGGGAAUACUAGGUAC